CCAUUUCACAGUCUGAAUUAGUUCAUACUUACACAUGCAUGGCUUAUCUUUGAGACAAGCAUAUGACUACUGGCAGGAUCAACCAGGUAGCAUUCCUCUUUGCUGUCGGCGCCGCUUGAGCAACAGGACGGAGACCAUCCUGAAGUGAAUACAAGGGCACGUCAGGCUUUCAUAAGGGACAAUUAUUCGGUCAAAACGGGGACAAGGACCCCAACCGAUCAUGUUUCUACAUACAAGACUUCAAGCGACACUUGGGCGUCCGAUGCCUGCUAGCUAAAAUGGCAAAGCAAGGACGGACGUCCAGGGGAACUUUGGGGUCUACAUCGCACAAAACAUUAGGCACGAGAUAGAUUAGGGACUUUGGGACUAUACAAUUCCAUCAACAUAGGUAUACUACACAGGGGGCCAGGGCAACCCAAGGCUAAAGAUUUAGCACUAGGGCAGAAUUGAACAGGUGCGAACCAGCGGUUGUCGUUGCCGGGGCAAGGAACCAACCAACUGAAACAUACCAAUCACCACUAACC
rnacentral:misc_RNA from 1 species